rnacentral:rRNA from 1 species
CCUACGGGAGGCAGCAGUGGGGAAUUUUGGACAAUGGACGCAAGUCUGAUCCAGCCAUGCCGCGUGCGGGAAGAAGGCCUUCGGGUUGUAAACCGCUUUUGUCAGGGAAGAAAAGGUUCUGGUUAAUACCUGGGACUCAUGACGGUACCUGAAGAAUAAGCACCGGCUAACUACGUGCCAGCAGCCGCGGUAAUACGUAGGGUGCAAGCGUUAAUCGGAAUUACUGGGCGUAAAGCGUGCGCAGGCGGUUAUGCAAAGACAGAGGUGAAAUCCCCGGGCUCAACCUGGGAACUGCCUUUGUGACUGCAUAGCUAGAGUACGGUAGAGGGGGAGUGGAAUUCCGCGUGUAGCAGUGAAAUGCGUAGAUAUGCGGAGGAACACCGAUGGCGAAGGCAAUCCCCUGGACCUGUACUGACGCUCAUGCACGAAAGCGUGGGGAGCAAACAGGAUUAGAUACCCUGGUAGUCACGCCCUAAACGAUGUCAACUGGUUGUUGGGAGGGUUUCGUUCUCAGUAACGUAGCUAACGCGUGAAGUUGACCGCCGUGGGGAGGUACGGCCGCGAAGGUUGAAACGUUAAAGGAAUUGAGG